rnacentral:rRNA from 1 species
CAGUAGCCACGGGAAUACGAAGGGUGCAAGCGUUAAUCGGAAUUACUGGGCGUAAAGCGUGCGUAGGCGGUUUGUUAAGUCUGUUGUGAAAUCCCCGGGCUCAACCUGGGAAUGGCAAUGGAUACUGGCAAGCUAGAGUGUGUCAGAGGAUGGUGGAAUUCCCGGUGUAGCGGUGAAAUGCGUAGAGAUCGGGAGGAACAUCAGUGGCGAAGGCGGCCAUCUGGGACAACACUGACGCUGAGGCACGAAAGCGUGGGGAGCAAACAGGAUUAGAUACCCGCGUAGUCCCUGUCUCUUAUAC